rnacentral:rRNA from 1 species
UUUUAUGGAGGGUUUGAUCCUGGCUCAGGAUGAACGCUGGCGGCGUGCCUAAUACAUGCAAGUCGAGCGAACGGACGAGAAGCUUGCUUCUCUGAUGUUAGCGGCGGACGGGUGAGUAACACGUGGAUAACCUACCUAUAAGACUGGGAUAACUUCGGGAAACCGGAGCUAAUACCGGAUAAUAUUUUGAACCGCAUGGUUCAAAAGUGAAAGACGGUCUUACUGUCACUUAUAGAUGGAUCCGCGCUGCAUUAGCUAGUUGGUAAGGUAACGGCUUACCAAGGCAACGAUGCAUAGCCGACCUGAGAGGGUGAUCGGCCACACUGGAACUGAGACACGGUCCAGACUCCUACGGGAGGCAGCAGUAGGGAAUCUUCCGCAAUGGGCGAAAGCCUGACGGAGCAACGCCGCGUGAGUGAUGAAGGUCUUCGGAUCGUAAAACUCUGUUAUUAGGGAAGAACAUAUGUGUAAGUAACUGUGCACAUCUUGACGGUACCUAAUCAGAAAGCCACGGCUAACUACGUGCCAGCAGCCGCGGUAAUACGUAGGUGGCAAGCGUUAUCCGGAAUUAUUGGGCGUAAAGCGCGCGUAGGCGGUUUUUUAAGUCUGAUGUGAAAGCCCACGGCUCAACCGUGGAGGGUCAUUGGAAACUGGAAAACUUGAGUGCAGAAGAGGAAAGUGGAAUUCCAUGUGUAGCGGUGAAAUGCGCAGAGAUAUGGAGGAACACCAGUGGCGAAGGCGACUUUCUGGUCUGUAACUGACGCUGAUGUGCGAAAGCGUGGGGAUCAAACAGGAUUAGAUACCCUGGUAGUCCACGCCGUAAACGAUGAGUGCUAAGUGUUAGGGGGUUUCCGCCCCUUAGUGCUGCAGCUAACGCAUUAAGCACUCCGCCUGGGGAGUACGACCGCAAGGUUGAAACUCAAAGGAAUUGACGGGGACCCGCACAAGCGGUGGAGCAUGUGGUUUAAUUCGAAGCAACGCGAAGAACCUUACCAAAUCUUGACAUCCUUUGACAACUCUAGAGAUAGAGCUUUCCCCUUCGGGGGACAAAGUGACAGGUGGUGCAUGGUUGUCGUCAGCUCGUGUCGUGAGAUGUUGGGUUAAGUCCCGCAACGAGCGCAACCCUUAAGCUUAGUUGCCAUCAUUAAGUUGGGCACUCUAAGUUGACUGCCGGUGACAAACCGGAGGAAGGUGGGGAUGACGUCAAAUCAUCAUGCCCCUUAUGAUUUGGGCUACACACGUGCUACAAUGGACAAUACAAAGGGCAGCGAAACCGCGAGGUCAAGCAAAUCCCAUAAAGUUGUUCUCAGUUCGGAUUGUAGUCUGCAACUCGACUACAUGAAGCUGGAAUCGCUAGUAAUCGUAGAUCAGCAUGCUACGGUGAAUACGUUCCCGGGUCUUGUACACACCGCCCGUCACACCACGAGAGUUUGUAACACCCGAAGCCGGUGGAGUAACCUUUUAGGAGCUAGCCGUCGAAGGUGGGACAAAUGAUUGGGGUGAAGUCGUAACAAGGUAGCCGUAUCGGAAGGUGCGGCUGGAUCACCUCCUUUCUAA